UUACAACGCUGGCAACAGCGAUAAGGGGACCUCGAGUGCCAGGAUACAAUCUUGGCUGUCGCGAUGCCUAAAAAGCAUUGCAUAGCAAGGGCCGGGCAAGACCGGUGCCAGCCGCCGCGGUAACACCGGCGGCUCGAGUGGUAACCGCUAUUAUUGGGUCUAAAGGGUCUGUAGCCGGCCGGAUAAGUCUUUUGGGAAAUCCAGCUGCUCAACAGUUGGGCUUUCAGAAGAUACUGUUCGGCUCGAGACCGGGAGAGGUGAGUGGUACUUCAGGGGUAGGGGUGAAAUCUUGUAAUCCUUGAAGGACCACCAGUGGCGAAGGCGUCUCACCAGAACGGAUCUGACGGCAAGGGACGAAAGCUAGGGGCACGAACCGGAUUAGAUACCCGGGUAGUCCUAGCCGUAAACGAUACUCGCUAGGUGUCAGCCACGGUGCGACCGUGGUUGGUGCCGUAGGGAAGCCGUGAAGCGAGCCACCUGGGAAGUACGGCCGCAAGGCUGAAACUUAAAGGAAUUGGCGGGGGAGCAC
rnacentral:rRNA from 1 species